ACCUGCCCACUGAUUAAUUUAAUGGCCGCAGUAAUUUGACUGUGCAAAGGUAGCAUAAUCAUUAGUUUUUUAAUUGAAAGCUUGUAUGAAUGGUUGGACGAGAUAAAAUCUGUCUCUAUUUAAAUUAUUUUAGAAUUUUAUUUUUAAGUUAAAAAGCUUAAAUAUAUGUAAAAGACGAGAAGACCCUAUAGAUCUUUAUAUUUUUUUAUAUAAUUUUAUUAAAGAAUUUUACAAUUUUUAUAUAUAUAAAUAUUUUAUUGGGGUAAUAAAAAGAUUUAUUAAAUUCUUUUUUUUUAUUGAUAUAGAUUAAUAGAUAUUUGAUCCAAUAUAUUUUGAUUAUAAGAUUAAGUUACCUUAGGGAUAACAGCGUAAUUUUUUUUGAGAGUUCAUAUCGAUAAAAAAGUUUGCGACCUCGAUGUUGGAUUAAAAAUUAUUUUAGGUGUAGAAGUCUAAAAAUUUGGUCUGUUCGACCAUUAAAUUUU
rnacentral:rRNA from 1 species